CAGUAGCCACGGGAAUACGUAGGGUCCGAGCGUUGUCCGGAAUUACUGGGCGUAAAGAGCUCGUAGGCGGUUUGUCGCGUCUGCUGUGAAAUCCUGAGGCUCAACCUCGGGCUUGCAGUGGGUACGGGCAGACUAGAGUGCGGUAGGGGAGAUUGGAAUUCCUGGUGUAGCGGUGGAAUGCGCAGAUAUCAGGAGGAACACCGAUGGCGAAGGCAGAUCUCUGGGCCGUAACUGACGCUGAGGAGCGAAAGCAUGGGGAGCGAACAGGAUUAGAUACCCCGGUAGUCCCUGUCUCUUAUAA
rnacentral:rRNA from 1 species